CAACCCUCGAACCCCUCCGGGGGGUCGGCGUUGGGGACCUCGGGAGCCCCUAAGACGGGAUCCCGGCCCCGAAAUACAGUGGCGGUCUCGCCGCAGCCUCUCCUGCGCAGUAGUUUGCACAACUCGCACCGGGAGCGCGGCGCGUCCACGUCCGUAAAACACCCAUCUUAUCAA
rnacentral:misc_RNA from 1 species